UACGAAGGGGGCUAGCGUUGCUCGGAAUCACCGGGCGUAAAGCGCACGUAGGCGGAUUGCUAAGUCAGGGGUGAAAUCCUGGAGCUCAACUCCAGAACUGCCCUUGAUACUGGCGGUCUCGAGUCCGGGAGAGGUGAGUGGAACUGCGAGUGUAGAGGUGAAAUUCGUAGAUAUUCGCAAGAACACCAGUGGCGAAGGCGGCUCACUGGCCCGGUACUGACGCUGAGGUGCGAAAGCGUGGGGAGCAAACAGG
rnacentral:rRNA from 1 species